CUUGGUCAUUUAGAGGAAGUAAAAGUCGUAACAAGGUCUCCGUAGGUGAACCUGCGGAGGGAUCAUUACAAGUGACCCCGGUCUUACCACCGGGAUGUUCAUAACCCUUUGUUGUCCGACUCUGUUGCCUCCGGGGCGACCCUGCCUUCGGGCGGGGGCUCCGGGUGGACACUUCAAACUCUUGCGUAACUUUGCAGUCUGAGUAAACUUAAUUAAUAAAUUAAAACUUUUAACAACGGAUCUCUUGGUUCUGGCAUCGAUGAAGAACGCAGCGAAAUGCGAUAAGUAAUGUGAAUUGCAGAAUUCAGUGAAUCAUCGAAUCUUUGAACGCACAUUGCGCCCCUUGGUAUUCCGAGGGGCAUGCCUGUUCGAGCGUCAUUACACCACUCAAGCUAUGCUUGGUAUUGGGCGUCGUCCUUAGUUGGGCGCGCCUUAAAGACCUCGGCGAGGCCACUCCGGCUUUAGGCGUAGUAGAAUUUAUUCGAACGUCUGUCAAAGGAGAGGAACUCUGCCGACUGAAACCUUUAUUUUUCUAGGUUGACCUCGGAUCAGGUAGGGAUACCCGCUGAACUUAAGCAUAUCAAUAAGCGGAGGA
rnacentral:rRNA from 1 species